rnacentral:rRNA from 1 species
AGCAGCCGCGGUAAUUCCAGCUCCAAUAGCGUAUAUUAAAGUUGUUGCAGUUAAAAAGCUCGUAGUUGAAUUUCGGGAUCAAUUAAUUGGUCGUGCCUCUGGUACGUACUGAUUUUAUUGGUUUCUCCCUUCUGACGAACCAUGAUGUCAUUAAUUUGGUGUCGUGGAGAAUCAGGACUGUUACUUUGAAAAAUUAGAGUGUUUAAAGCAAGCUAACGCUUGAAUACAUUAGCAUGGAAUAAUGAAAUAGGACGUUUGAUCCUAUUUUGUUGGUUUCUAGGAUCGACGUAAUGAUUAAUAGGGAUAGUUGGGGGCAUUAGUAUUCAAUUGUCAGAGGUGAAAUUCUUGGAUUUAUUGAAGACUAACUACUGCGGAAGCAUUUGCCAAGGAUGUUUUCAUUAAUCAAGAACGAAAGUUAGGGGAUCGAAGACGAUCAGAUACCGUCGUAGUCUUAACCAUAAACUAUAGCCGA